rnacentral:rRNA from 1 species
CUGGCGGCGUGCCUAAUACAUGCAAGUCGAACGCUUCUUUCCUCCCGCAGUGCUUGCACUCAAUUGGAAAGAGGAGUGGCGGACGGGUGAGUAACACGUGGGUAACCUGCCCAUCACAGGGGGAUAACACUUGGAAACAGGUGCUAAUACCGCAUAACAGUUUAUGCCGCAUGGCAUAAGAGUGAAUCAGCGCGCUUUCGGGUGUCGCUGAUGGAUGGACCCGCGGUGCAUUAGCUAGCUUGGUGAGGUAACGGCUCACCAAGGCCACGAUGCAUAGCCGACCUGACGAGGGUGAUCGGCCACACUGGGACUGAGACACGGCCCAGACUCCUACGGGCAGGCACCAGCUCACGGGAAUCUUCGGCAAUGGACGACACGUCUGACCGAGCAACCGCCGCGUGCACGUGACACAAGGUCCCCGGAUCGUAACAACUCUUGUUCGUCACCAGAAGGAACCAGGACGUUCAGUACCUUGACACGGUCCCCUGCACGGUACUCUAAACCAGGAAAGCCCACGGCUAAACUUACCUGUUGGCCAAGCCCAGUCCUGCUGGUCAAUCACCCUAGCGUGGCAACCCCGUAUGUCCCGGACUUUCAUCGCGGCCCGUAACAGCGG